UUACUGUUGUCACGGGCAAAAGUGUUCUCACACCUUGAAAAACUGAAGCCUUGAUGAUGCUAACCAGCCAUAGCACUGCGGCUGUGCUGACCCCUGCGAAUUCCCCAAAUGUGGGAAUCUCGACUGCAUAAUUUCUGGUAGUGGGGGACUGCGUUCGCGCUCUCCUCUG